CGACCCGCCACUGCACCCGAGGUGCAAAUUUAUUACAAACAAGUUGAUAUGAUUGAAAACAUUCACGAUUAAGAAAAACACUUGAUUUACACAAUUCUCUAUUAAGCUCAUCGAUCUUUUGCCUUUUCAAAUCCUUGAAUUUCAUAAGAUCCAACGUUCUCCUGCAUCAAGACUUCGGGAUUGCUUUUGUCAUAUUUUGACUUGGCCUAACCCUAUUUAUUUUCUCCUUGUCUUUGGUUUCUCUAAACGCUUCUUCAGGUCAACAAAGGAGCUGCAAAAGAUUAUCUAGGCCUGGGAUGUUUGGAAGUCAGGUAUCACUCCAAAACAUUCGUUUAUCAUGUGGUUAGGCGCCCAAUCCAAGCUGCAAACCAAGGACACAAUGCUGCAUUUAGACAUUGACAGAACUUGUGUUGGAAAAAAUAGACGUGCAUAAAUUAUAUUUAAAUAACAUACAUUUUAUGUGCAAAAAUCGAAUAGAAUUUUGACUUAUCAAAUUAAAUACGUAAAGUAGAAAAAGAAAUGCAUGAAUAUGAAUUUGGUCUAGACAAGAAUUCGACUUUUUUUCGUAAGACGAUAAUGCCUCGCAUUAGUGCUAAUGGUUUUUCGACAUUCGUCUCCCAAAAUACAACAACCAUAUCUCGUAAUAAGAGCACUCCAAAUUACGUAGACCAACGAACCUACUUAUGUUUUGAACCCUUUUUAUAUGAAACUUGACUCCAAAUAUAUGCAGAAUUUUCAAGUGAAUAUGCAUUAAUAUAAUAAUACAAUCAUGAAGUGAAUCAAUAAAUGAAUAAACACAUAGGAUCUAUAUAUAGAUGUUGAAAAGGUUUGUUUCAAAAGACACAACCUAUGGAAGAGAUGUAACUAUUGGAAUUAGUCUUUAUAUUUAAGAAGACACACCUCUUGGAAAAUGAUAAUGCCAAAAUUCCCAAUCCUUUAUAUAGAAAGAUACAUUUUCAAUCAAAUAAUUUCUAGA
rnacentral:lncRNA from 1 species